rnacentral:rRNA from 1 species
AGUGAACGCUGGCGGUAGGCCUAACACAUGCAAGUCGAAAGGCAGCACAGGAGAGCUUGCUCUCUGGGUGGCGAGUGGCGGACGGGCGAGGAAUACAUCGGAAUCUACUUUUUCGUGGGGGAUAACGUAGGGAAACUUACGCUAACACCGCAUACGACCUACGGGUGAAAGCAGGGGACCUUCGGGCCUUGCGCGAUUGAAUGAGCCGAUGUCGGAUUAGCUAGUUGGCGGGGUAAAGGCCCACCAAGGCGACGAUCCGUAGCUGGUCUGAGAGGAUGAUCAGCUACACUGGAGCUGAGACACAGUCCAGGCUCCUACGAGAGGCAGCAGUGGGGAAUAUUGGACAAUGGGCGCAAGCCUGAUCCAGCCAUACCGCGUGGGUGAAGUAGGCCUUCGGGUUGUAAAGCCCUUUUGUUGGGAAAGAAAUCCAGCUGGCUAAUACCCGGUUGGGAUGACGGUACCCAAAGAAUAAGCACCGGCUAACUUCGUGCCAGCCGCCGCGGUAA